ACUCCUUCAUCUCUUGUGCUCUCUCUCCGUCUUUCUCCUCGACAACUCCGCCAUGAACGCGUCUUUUUCUUGCAUUUGAAUGCAUCGACGGUGAGUUGGGUGACAGAAGAGAGUGAGCACACAGCGGAAAUUGCAUCGGUUGAUGCCUUCUCUGUUGCGUGCUCACUUCUCUUCCUGUCAGCCCUCUCUCUUUCUCUUCCUCGUAGUAGGAGUUUAAGUGAUGGGAAAGGCAUGCGUUAGAUCGUUCUAGUUUGCUUCUCUGUUGCAGUUUUAUAUGGGUGGGUUUUCACAAUAAGUAUAUGGAUCUUGAGUUGUUUGUGAAAGAGGGCUAAUUUUUUGUCUCCAGAAAUUUCAAAGAUCUGCCCGUUUCUUCCCAGGUUAGUUUACCACAGCUCGAUCUAUAUUAACAAGUUUCGAUCUGUUCUAUUAAAGCUUAGUGUUCAGCUUUGCAUGUGGUAUCUUAGAUCAAUAUACCUCUUGAUUUACAUCGCAUGUUUUAUUCAACUUUGCUAUAGAUUUAUUUAAUUUAUUUGCUUCUUAUCUCUUAUCUGCAGCAAAUUAAGGUUUAUGAUAUACAUGAUUUUGCAUGUUACACUUCAAGGAUUACAGCGUUGAAUAUGAAACUUUCAUGUUUUUCGGUUCUCUUGGGGGGAAAAACUACGAAGAUUUAGUGUUUGUGAAUUAUAAUAUGAUUUUGCAUGUUAAUGUCAAUCGAUGACAUUAACAACGAGCCGUAGAUAGUGAUUAAUAGAUAUGACAAUGCAUGCAUUUACACCAUGGAAUCCAGUAUAUGGGAAUUGCAUAAAGUAUUUUUACAACGAUACAUGAUCUCCACCAUUUUAUUUAUUUAUUUCUUAAAAGGUUUCGUGAUUUCUAGAGUCGAGAAGUUCUUUUUUUUUUAAUUUAGAUAAGAGAGAUAUUUUUAUUCAAUCUUGUCUGAAUUAAAGAAAUGCAGGACACUGUUUUUGCAUGCCAAUUGUUAAUGUAGUGUUCUUUGUUGGAUGAAUAUUUGCUUUUUUUUACUCAAUAAUACCAUCUGUUUUGCUUGAUAUUGAUGUUUCAAUUGUAAUUUAAGAGUCAUUGUCACUGGAAUUCAAUUUCUUAACAUGAAAAAGAACAUGCAUAGGCAUCUUUGUCUUACAAAUGUUAUUUCUCAGCAGUUUAUUUACCAAUCAUGUUUUAGAGAUUGAAGUGUGAUGUUGCAAGGAAAAGCAUCAAUUAUAUUGCUAGUUAAUGUAACAGUUAGGACGAUAUUGGUAUGAUGUGGGAUUACCUGUAAGCCUAAAAUUUACUAUAUUAAUAUUCAAGAAAAUUUAGAUGGAACAUCUUUGUUGGUGCAAUCGAUCUCUAGGGUUUCGAUGUUUGAUAAUAUGAUCAAGGGUUGACCCAAACAGAAUUUGAUAUUUGGGAAAGAGAAGUCUAGUCAAGAUUAAAUAACUAGCAAAGGUAAGUUCUAACCAAAGGUUAGGCAAAGUGGAAGUUCCGGCGAGUGAAGUCGGGCCCUAGUAAGUGAAGCUAGGUGAUGGAAAUCUCGGUGAAUGAAGUCGAACCCUAGUGAGUGAAGCUAGGUGGUGGAAGUCUCGGUGAGUAAAGUUGGGUCAUAGUAAGUGAAGACAGGCAAUGGAAGUCCUAGUGAGUGAAGCUAGCUGGCAACCCUAGGGAGGUAAACCUAAAUUUAUUGUACUAUUUUAUUUAUUGUGCUAACUCAAAGUCGCAGGAGAAGUCUGGACUGGUUGACGGGUUGAUCGAAUCUCUAGCACGAAGUCCAGCUAGGUCGACGGGCUAAUCUGAUAGCUGGCAUGAAGUCCAGACGGGUCAACGGGCUGAUCGGACGUCUGACAUGUAAGUUAAGGAGAAGGACAUUCUGGAGAAAGGUGGUACGGGCGCCCGGAAGGGAUCUGGGCGCCCAGAGUUGGUCCGUCGCUCGGAAGGGAUCCAGGCGCCCGGAGCAUCCUAUAUAAGGAGGGUGAGCCCUGAAGCAAAGAACAAUAACAAAAUAUGCUCUACUGUGCUGUGCUCCUGUGACGCUGCUCCUCCGACAACCUGCGGCUCAAGUUUUGUUUAUUGUUGUUGGUAUUAUUCAUCUUUUUGUAAUUCUUGUACUCAAAUUUGUAAACCUUUUUAUGAACUAUUAGUGAUUACCCAACG